AUUGAACGCUGGCGGCAGGCCUAACACAUGCAAGUCGAACGAGUGGCGGACGGGUGAGUAAUGUCUGGGAAACUGCCCGAUGGAGGGGGAUAACUACUGGAAACGGUAGCUAAUACCACAUACCAUCGGAUGUGCCCAGAUGGGAUUAGCUAGUCGGGGGGGUAACGGCUCACCAAGGCGACGAUCCCUAGCUGGUCUGAGAGGAUGACCAGCCCCACUGGAACUGAGACACGGUCCAGACUCCUACGGUAGGCAGCAGUGGGGAAUAUUGCACAAUGGGCGCAAGCCUGCUGCAGCCAUGCCGCGUGUAUGAAGAAGGCGUUCGGGUUGUAAAGUACUUUCAGCGAGGAGGCGUUACUCGCAGAGGAAGCCCCGGCUAACUCCGUGCCAGCAGCCGCGGUAAUUC
rnacentral:rRNA from 1 species